AUUGAACGCUGGCGGCAGGCUUAACACAUGCAAGUCGAGCGGGGGAGGUUGCUUCGGUAACUGACCUAGCGGCGGACGGGUGAGUAAUGCUUAGGAAUCUGCCUCUUAGUGGGGGACAACAUCUCGAAAGAGAUGCUAAUACCGCAUACGUCCUACGGGAGAAAGCAGGGGACCUUCGGGACUUGCGCUAAUAGAUGAGUCUAAGUCGGAUUAGCUAGUUGGUGGGGUAAAGGACUACCAAGGCGACGAUCUGUAGCGGGUCUGAGAGGAUGAUCUGCCACACUGGGACUGAGACACGGACCAGACUCCUACGGGAUGCAGCAGUGUGGAAUAUUGGUCAAGGGACGAAAGUCUGAACCAGCCAUGCCGCGUGAAGGAUGGAGGCGUUCUGCGUUGUAAACUUCGUUUAUCAGGGAAGAUACCUCAGUAUUCUUAUUGAGCCGACGGUACCUGAUGAAUAAGCACCGGCUAACUCCGUGCCAGCCGCCGCGGUAACAC
rnacentral:rRNA from 1 species